rnacentral:hammerhead_ribozyme from 1 species
CUUCAGCUGAAGAGUCCUACAGUAGAACGAAACGGCCGUCCAGUAC